rnacentral:lncRNA from 1 species
GCUGAUUGGUUCUUUGAUCUUUGGUUCUUUUCUUUCUCCUACGUGAAAGCCACAUGCACCACACACACACACACACCCAUCUCUCUGCCAGGAAGUAAAAUUCUGCUCUGGGAUGUGGUUAUUUUAGCAUGUGGGGAAGGUGAUGGAGAAACAACACAGCUCUUUUUUGCAUAUCUGCUUUUUUUUUUAAUGAAAUCUGUUUAAUGGUGUACAGGGGUGUAGCAACUCUGGUUCUGCUAAAAUUUUCCAAAAGGAAAGGUUCAUAUUUUUAAAAAUAAACAUUUUUAUUAAUAAAGUUUAUAAAUCCAUAAAUAGAUGAAAGGUAAAAUAUCAAAAAAUGACUAAAGUAUAUAAAGUUCACUCUCAAGGCCUCACAUUCCAAAUUGCCUUGGCCUUAUCUGGGUAGGUCAAGUCAAAAAAGAGAAUGGUUCCCCAUGUUCUCCUGAGGAGAAAAGUGACUGAGGAGCUACAGGAGACAGAGAAAGUGACAGAAGAGAGAGAAAAGGGGACCCCAAGAGGUGGCCACCCAACACUGUCAUCUCUGAAGUCAUUUUGGAAAUGAAAUAAUUGAAUUCAAUAUGAAUUAAGAGCUUUCUUCCCUCCUACACACAUUGGCAAUCCAGAAUACAUGCUGGAUCUCAACUUUCUGCCCUCGAGGGACCAACGGACAGACCACUAUUGUCCUGGGGGCAACUAUGCUGCUCUCCCCCAGAUUCAGGGCAAAUCUAUUCAGGGGAUGGCAGUUUCACAAAAAUGGGGAAAAAAUCCUCACCACACUUGGAAUGAUCCCCCACCCCCACGUCCUCAGAGUAGAGAAUGCCCAAAUCUGUUUCCAGUUUCUAUUUUAUAUACACGACAACAUGCAAACCCUGGUUAUUCAACAAACCAUCUCUGCAGAUGGCCAAGAUCUGACACCUGGGAGAUAGCAAGGCAAACCCUCUGGACAUUAACCAUGUUUCUCAGGCCCCCACAAGAUGCUGGGAUGAAGCUAUGGCCAUCCAAGGCUUCCCCGGGGCACGUAACUACAGCUGAAACCCAAACUGGCCUGGCCUGUCGGGGCUGGUUAGAGAUGAAAUUCCAUCAGAAGCCAGUGUCCAUUUCGGGCUGUUUGCUUCCAGGACGGCCAGCCUCCCCCGCUGGCCUGGCCGGCUGCACUCCGUCCUCGCAGCCCUUCCCCCUGCUCUUUGGUAAUUUAUAA